AUUGAACGCUGGCGGCAGGCCUAACACAUGCAAGUCGAGCGGAUGAAGGGAGCUUGCUCCUGGAUUCAACGGCGGACGGGUGAGUAAUGCCUAGGAAUCUGCCUGGUAGUGGGGGAUAACGUCCGGAAACGGGCGCUAAUACCGCAUACGUCCUGAGGGAGAAAGUGGGGGAUCUUCGGACCUCACGCUAUCAGAUGGGCCUAGGUCGGAUUAGCUAGUUGGUGGGGUAAAGGCCUACCAAGGCGACGAUCCGUAACUGGUCUGAGAGGAUGAUCAGUCACACUGGAACUGAGACACGGUCCAGACUCCUACGGGAGGCAGCAGUGGGGAAUAUUGGACAAUGGGCGAAAGCCUGAUCCAGCCAUGCCGCGUGUGUGAAGAAGGUCUUCGGAUUGUAAAGCACUUUAAGUUGGGAGGAAGGGCAGUAAGUUAAUACCUUGCUGUUUUGACGUUACCAACAGAAUAAGCACCGGCUAACUUCGUG
rnacentral:rRNA from 1 species